rnacentral:misc_RNA from 1 species
AUCUUUUCAGGGCCAUUG